ACACAUGCAAGUCGAACGGCAGCACGGACUUCGGUCUGGUGGCGAGUGGCGAACGGGUGAGUAAUAUAUCGGAACGUGCCCUGGAGUGGGGGAUAACUAGUCGAAAGACUAGCUAAUACCGCAUACGAUCUACGGAUGAAAGUGGAGGAUCGCAAGACCUCAUGCUCGUGGAGCGGCCGAUAUCUGAUUAGCUAGUUGGUGGGGUAAAAGCCUACCAAGGCAUCGAUCAGUAGCUGGUCUGAGAGGACGACCAGCCACACUGGGACUGAGACACGGCCCAGACUCCUACGGGAGGCAGCAGUGGGGAAUUUUGGACAAUGGGGGCAACCCUGAUCCAGCAAUGCCGCGUGAGUGAAGAAGGCCUUCGGGUUGUAAAGCUCUUUUGUCAGGGAAGAAACGGUUCGGGCUAAUAUCCUGGGCUAAUGACGGUACCUGAAGAAUAAGCACCGGCUAACUACGUGCCAGCAGCCGCGGUAAUACGUAGGGUGCAAGCGUUAAUCGGAAUUAUUGGGCGUAAAGCGUGCGCAGGCGGUUGUGCAAGACAGAUGUGAAAUCCCCGGGCUUAACCUGGGAAUUGCAUUUGUGACUGCACGGCUAGAGUGUGUCAGAGGGGGGUAGAAUUCCACGUGUAGCAGUGAAAUGCGUAGAGACGUGGAGGAAUACCGAUGGCGAAGGC
rnacentral:rRNA from 1 species